rnacentral:rRNA from 1 species
UACGGGGGGGGCAAGCGUUGUUCGGAAUUACUGGGCGUAAAGGGCGCGUAGGCGGUUUGAUAAGUCAGCUGUGAAAACCACGGGCUUAACUCGUGGCCUGCAGUUGAGACUGUCUGGCUUGAGUGUGGGAGAGGAGAGUGGAAUUCCUGGUGUAGCGGUGAAAUGCGUAGAUAUCAGGAGGAACACCGGUGGCGAAGGCGGCUCUCUGGACCACAACUGACGCUGAGGCGCGAAAGCGAGGGGAGCAAACAGG